ACCCGGCCCGCGGAGAUCCCGCAGCUGCGGUGGGAGAGGGACUCCAGGUGUCUGCGGCCCUGCCGGGGCCGGGCGCCAGUGCCAGCUGUGCUGGCACCUCCGGGUCCCGCAGCCAUGGGGCACGCGAGCGCCUGAGCUUCCAGGGCUGCGCCGUGAGACGGGGUCCGCCGGUGCUCGCCUUCAGGGGUUGGGGCCGUAAGAGUGUUUUCUCCUUCCAGGCGAAGUGCUAAUGCCAAGCUCCCCCGCAGCACUUGCUAUUGGAUAUUAUGGCUGCUAAGAAACUCAGAAGAGCAAUGUUGUCCCAGGAGCUGUGUGAAAGGCUGAGUCGCCAUCAGAUCACUACCUGUCAGGACUUUUUACGUCUUUCCUUCUUGGAGCUAAUGAAAGUGACGGGACAGAGCUACUACGAUGUACGGAAGCUUCUUUGUAAAGUCAGCCGAGCUUGUGCUCCCAAAAUGCAGACAGCUUAUGAAAUGAAACUGAGGAAGUCUGUCAAUCCCUCUUCAGCCUUUUUAUCUACCACGCUGCAUAGUUUGGAUGAAGUCUUGCAUGGUGGAGUGCCCUGUGGAUCCCUCACAGAGAUAACUGGCCCACCAGGUUGUGGCAAAACUCAGUUUUGUAUUAUGGCAAGUGUUCUGGCUACACUGCCUGUAAGCAUGGGAGGACUAGAUGGGGCCGUUAUAUAUAUUGACACAGAGUCUGCAUUCAGUGCUGAGAGGUUGAUUGAGAUAGCAGGAAACAGAUUCCCUACUUAUUUUGAUUCGGAAGAAAAGCUGUUCUGCAUGACCUGUAGCAUCCACCUGUAUCGAGAGCUGACCUGUGGUAGUGUACUGAAGAGGAUUACGUCUUUGGAAGAAGAAAUUAUUUCAAAGAAAGUUAAACUCAUAAUAGUUGACUCUAUUGCUUCAGUUGUCAGAAAGGAAUUUGAUACAAAACUCCAAGGCAACCUGAUAGAGAGAAGUAACUUUUUGGCUAGAGGAGCAUCAGUGUUGAAGUAUUUGGCGGAAGAGUUCUCAAUACCAGUUAUCUUGACGAAUCAGAUUACCACAUCGUUGAGCAAUGGCCUUGCGAUACAGGCAGACCUGGUGUCUCCAGCUGAUGAUUUGUCCCUGUCUGAAGGAGCUUCUGGAAGUGGGAAAAGGAAAUCUGGUUGUGUGACAGCAGCCCUUGGCAACACAUGGAGUCACAGCGUCAAUACCAGGCUCAUACUACAAUAUCAUGACUUGCUGACAAGACAGCUCCUGGUUGCUAAAUCUCCUGUUGCUCCAUUCUCUGCAUUUUUCUACACCAUUGAGAAAUCGGGCUUGGUUCUUCAAGUCUGUCAGAAGCUGCUGUGCACGCCUUUACUGCAAAGAUCUGAUGGAAAGGAUCAAACAAAUCUAACCUGGGAAGGAACCAAUCCUGCCCUGCAGACCAUACGAGUGAGGAACACCACCUUGAAAGAUACUUUUCUUGAUGCUGCUUUACCCAGCACUACUGGUGAGACUCCAAGCAAUACAUCCUGUCUAUAGAAAGGACAACUUCAUUAAGAAAUGAAUGAGUGACAACAUUGGUUUUCAAAAAUACAGUGAAGCAUAUAGUAAACAUUCUUCUUUUGUCUCUUUAAAGACUUAGUUAAAAGCACGUGCUGUUCUUUGUAUGUGUGGGGCCAUGCUUAACUCUGAACUUAGGAAAAUCCUGUAUUUUGUUCAAGUUUAUUUAAGUGACAUGGUAAUAAAAGCCUCUGAACAACACACAUGCUACUGAAGAAGCAUAGGCCACACGAGCCUUCCUAAUUUACCCCAUUACCUCACCGAUUUGGAGGAACCAACAGUCAAACAUAAGAGUGCUUGGUGUCCACAGCCCAUAACAUAGUGAAAUAUUUGCUUCUGCUUUUCAAGAGAAAUUAUAAACCCACUCACUGGCUUGACUGACAAGCAGUAGUUCAGUGAGGUCUUAUUCCUGUAACUCACUUGAAAAUCAUCAGAGAUGAUGUAACAGACCUGCUAAUAGCUAGGCUCUAACAGUUUAGAAUGGAAGGAGAACAGGUAGCAAUCCAAAUGGUAGGAAGAUUGGUGUGUAGUGCAGCUGCUCAGCUUCCUCUGUCUUCAAAGUGCUUUUAAUGUAUUCACAACAUGACAGCAAACCACAGAACUAUUUACUCAUCUUACAGACUUAGAGAAUAUGACUCUCUCGAGGCUGCUGAAGGCAUCACUGGCUGUGCUGUGAUCAGGUUCAGGUUGUUCCAGGCUCUCAAGCCUCACACACCUAAGGGAAAGCCAUGGGUUCAGUUAGUGCUGACUGCCAGUGUACAGUUGACAUUGGUCUGAGAGGUUUGUUCUGUCCUCUGCAAUCACAGGGAAAGCCUCCCAGAGCAAACUCUUGAAAAGCAGAGUAACCUGUACAGAAAUAUGGGAGGUCUGGAGAACUGCUGAAGUGGAUGGAGGUAAUCCAGCAAGAAAAUCAGUUGCAGUGGGUCCACCUGUAGCAGUGAGGAACUACGUCUGCACUUUUCCAGACUUCCAAGUAUGAUUUCUGGGCUCUGUAACAUCCCAGAAGCCAGCCCAGCUUCUGCGUGCUUUUUUCCCUGAGGCUGAGACCAAAGAAGAGCUGAUGAUUUCCCCAAGUUGAUUUACUCUCAUAUCUGCCAUGAAGAUUCUGGGUUUUGGAUAGCCGAUGCUUGUUGCUGUUCUCUCCAAGGUGCUUUCUACAUGAUUAAAACUUCUCCCUAGCCCAAGGGUCAGAAUGAUAUGCCUUUAAUUACCAAGGGCUGUGGAAGAAACUAUCAAGUGAAACCAGCAAGAAUCUGUGUUCUAGCUGAGGCUGUCAGAGUUCUGCAGGGAAAACGUGCUGUUUGCCACCACUGCCCCCUCCCCAGCCCAGAGCAGUGCUGGUCAGCAGGAGCACAGCUGUCCACCCCCUCUGCCCCGCAAGAAGAAAAGCUUCAUAUUGAGUGCUGUAAAGACCUGUGCUUGAAAUCUGCUACUGCCUGCAACGUUCUGAUGCCUGGGAAGGGAGGAAGUGCUCCAGAGCUGCAGGUCCCCAGUGGAAACACAGAAGGGUUAACUGGCUGCUGCCUGCAGAGACUGCUUCAUGGAACUCUUCAGAUCUUAAAUGCUGAGAAGGGACAUGAAACAAUAAUCCCCUAGAGAACAUGCUGAAUGAUUCAAGAAAUUCCCCUCAAAUGGGCGCAAUGAGGCCAGGAGGCCAGUGCCAGCAUGCUUUGCCACUGUGAGCCAGCAGAAACCAAACAAGGAGACUGGCAAUGUGACUGUGAACCAGCUAACACAAAGCUUAGGAACUGGAAAUUCAAAGAUCAGCGGGAUCAACAACUGGCCCAUUUCUGAUAUGGGAUA